CCGAGCUCUAGCGGACCAAAGAGCUGGAAGACAAGGAAGUUUCCCGAACUUGGGCCAUCAACUCACCGCCCGGCCUGAGAAGAAAGGGCUGGUCACAAGGGGGCCGCCCCCUGGCCCCUCCCCUCUCGACGUGUGGCCCCCCAGCCCCGGAUUCUGCCCUCCUGCAGUGAUGAAUGGCACCGCUGUCCGGUUUGGUCAGACCUCUUCCUGAAACAGAUUCUACUGGAGGUAACCACAGCGACGGAUUCUAGAGAAAGCCCCUGAAAUGGAGGUUCUGGUCUCACCUGGCUCCAGGCCCGGACUCUGCAGAUAAAAAAAGAUUCAUUGGGGUGGCGGUUGGGGUUGCAGGAAGGGCAACACUCUGGCAAGAAUCCCUCAGGGAACCAUCAAAAAUUGAUCUCUGGGAAUUCAGUGGAGAGAGGAGUAUUAUUCUGGAGUGUGGUGAGAGGAAGCAUAAGGGCUUCAGGCCCUAGAUAGGAGAUCCCAAGCACUUGCUAGCUUUGUGAGCUCAGAUAAAACACCUGAUUUCCCUGAGCCUUAGUUAUGUCAUCUGUUAAACAAAAAAUGGGAAUAAUAAUCCUAACCUGUUAUGAACACUAAAUCAUAGUAUAUAUAAAGUAAAAGUUCCUUAAGUCACCUGUUUCUUUCACAUCUGUUUCUCAGUCCACAUCUUAAAAUCUGCCUAUAGCACAAUGCCUGGUACUUAGAAUACAGAAAAGGAGAACACUGUCUUUCCAAAUUCUCUCAAAGUUAUUGCUCAGUUCACUGAAUUAUCCCUCCUAACCAGUUCAUGUAUAUGAACACACACUUAACAAGUGUACAUGAACAGAUCCCAUAACUGUAUUACUGUGCUAAAUUGUGCUGUGAGAAAUACAGAAUAAAAUGAUUUGUGUCCUCCAGA